rnacentral:rRNA from 1 species
AGUAUGAGACUACCGGUCUCUGCGUGAUGACGGUGAAAAGGAACACAGCAACACGACCCGUCCCAAUUACGCAGACCGUCCAGGGUCCACCCCCGUCCUCUCCGAUCGCCGCCGCCGGGACCCUACAGCCGGCCCGCCAUGGCUGAUCCGCCAUCCCUAGCCUCCACCGCAACGCCGCAGCCCGACCAGCUCGCCACCUCUGCUUCCAUCCCGCAGAACGCCAACCCCCAAAUCCCCCUGCCCCCCAUCGUUUCCUCCGCGCAGGUCAACCCGGGCUCGGCUGCUACGGGAGGCAGAUCCACGGACCCGCCGCAGUUGCAGGCGCCUUCUCCCACGCAGGCGGCUGAAGGAGCCGGAGGAUUCGGUGCGAUCCACCGCUCAGGCCCGGCCUCCCUCGCCCCCACCGUCGGCCAGCCUCCACGGUACGCGACAGUCGGCACGACAUAUGGCACGCAGAUGGCCUUCCCGGGCGGCGGGGGGCAGUUGGGCCAGCAGCCGGGGCUGCGCGCGGCCAUGUUUGGACAGGGGCAGCCGAGGAUGCUGCAAGGGCAGGGCAACGCAGCCUCCGCGGCGCAGUACGGGCUCCAGUUCCAGCCAACGAUGAUGGCGCAGCCAGGGCAGAGGGGCGUGGUACAAGGCGUGCAAUUCAACACUCCCACUGCACAAGCGCAAUCCAUGGGUGCUUCCCUGAUGAACCAGAUGAGGCCUAAUGGAAUUGCUACCCCAUAUGGUGCUCAAACUCAGCAACGUUCUGCAUAUCAUGCACAAAUGAGGCCACAGCAGCCACCUGGAUCAUCACAAAAUGGGCCUGUGGUGCAAAUGUUACCAACGCAUCAGAUGCAAUCGUCAAUGGCCUCGGCUGUUUCUCCACAUCAACGCCAGCAAGAACAAAUGAUGCAACUGAUACAACAACUUCAGCAGAGAGGAUUGAAUCGCCAGCAGAUUGCGCAGGCGCUGCAGCGGCUUCCCCAUCUUAAUGCCCAACAUUUGAACCAGCAGCAACGGCAACAACAGCAAGCAUCUCCCAGGAUGCCAGCAUCUGCUGCAGGGAAGCCCGCAAACACGGCAGGAUUGCAGCCAGCGACACCUUCCUCAGGCGGAACAGCGGCGGGUGCAAAUGCGCCGCAUCAAGGAGGGGGAAAUUGCAGCCAACUUCUUGGGAAGAGAAAGAUACAUGAUUUGGUGGCGCAGGUGGAUCCACUCUGCGAGGUUGAUCCAGAGGUGGAAGAUUUGAUUCUGGAGAUUGCCGACGACUUCAUUAACACAGCGGCUGAUUUUGCGUGCAGGCUUGCAAAGCACAGGAAAUCAUCGGUUGUGGAAGCCAAGGAUGUGCUACUGCACCUGCAGAAGAAUUGUCACCUGUCCGCUCCUGGUUUCUCACAGGAGAGGAUGUGAAUGAAUCUGCAGAGAAAUUCAGUGUAGGCUUUGGUACAAUUAUGUCAUUUACUUUGAAAAGCGUGAAUUGUAUUUGAGAUAGAUAGUUAUACCAUUAUAGGUAAAUUGCUGAAAAAGAUAGAUCGAUAUACCUCUCAUUAGUCAUGGACUCAUAGUAUGUGUUUGUGCGUAGAUGGAGCACAUGUAUAUGGUCCCACGUACCUGACGACAUACACUGUGUACAUUGCCAUCUGACAUUUUUGUACACCAUAGAAACCCAGCCGUUCCACCCAGUAAUGCGUGGCUCUUCAUCAGCGGCGAAAUUGUUGUAGGGUGAAACCUUAAGAGGGAUCUUUUCACACUUGGAACACAAGAGAAAAAUUUACUUAAACAAAACCCAAUUACACAUCCACUAGAUAGCAAACACAUAGAUCCACAAGAAUACAAGCACAAUCCAAGGAAUCAAG